GUAGAAGACAUAGCUUCUGUGCUAAAUAUUCUAAAGUUCCUAAAUAUAAUAGAACACUAGGGGUAGAGUUGGAUGUGUUGUUCCAGGUGGUGCUGAUCUAGGUUAAGAGGUGACCACAGCCUAUUGACAGCUCCUCGUCACCAUCCCACAUACCUGCUGCCUGCUGCAGACUGACUAUUGCACCCUCUGAAAGUGUAGCUGCAGAAGUAGCUGUUCCCCACAUGCAGUUUACCUUUAGCAGUACCAUUUCUUUGCUUGUAGCUAAUUUUUGUCACAACCAAGGGUGGAGAUGAGCAUAUUAAGAUGUGUCUUAAGACCUUAUCUGAAUAAAAAUCCAUGCUUUCUACUAGUUUAUUUGAAUGUCUGAUUAGUUAAUUUAGUUAAUUUAGAAUACUGUACAGGCUUGUGUUUUUUUCCAAUCUGAGCCUUUGAAGUAUGGACUGAAUGGCUUUAUAUCAAAGGUAUAAACCCAGGGGACUUGUGUCAGUGUAGAAGUAUCAGAUGGGCUGUUGGAUCAAUAGAUCAUACACUUACCUGAAGAUACUGAUCCAACAUUACUUUAAAAUAGAUGAAUGGGCCUCUCUCAAAGGCAGUUGAUCCCAUCCCAAAAAUAAGGCACUAUUAUUAUUUGGAGGUUAGAGGACAUGCAUUCCACCAUUAAGGUGCUGAAGCUUAACAAGUCUCCAAACUUUCUGGGGAGGCUUUCCACAAGAUGGAAUGUGAAUUGUCUUCCUGAAAAGAGGAAACUUUAAAAGGACCUUUAUACUACAAACCUAAAGGUGAAGUGCAUUCCAGACCUUUAAACUGAGUGAGCUGCAUCUUACACAAAAUUUACUUCUAGAUGCUCAUUUAAAUAAUAUGUGGCAUGUACCUGUUGGCUACAAACAGUAUAGACAAUGUAUCCCUCAGAAUGUUACACAACAAUCCUGAAUAUUCACUAGCUAACAAUGUAAAACAUGCUGAUAUGAAGUUGCAACUUAAUGUUACUACUUCUGCCCCUUAGGCAGAUCAGGGUGUAAAACCAGAAAUCCUUUCCUGCAUGAAAUCACCAAACCCUCAACGUUUUUACAGGAGCACAAGAGGGACUCACACAGUUUAAACUAGACUAAAAUGUUGUCAUGUUUCUCAUAUUUUUUUUAAUAGUGGGGUGUAGAGGAGUCAUCCAGAAUGAUACGUUUAUCCUCCUCUCUUCAAGGCAACAGACGUAUAACUCUCUUUGCAAGGCAGCAUCUUUUCUUAGCAGUGGAAACUAGUGAUUAGCACCUUGGUGGCUCAGAUCAUUCCCAAAGGCAAAGGCAGUAUUUGCAUAAAGUCACAUGGGGAAAAAAAAAAAAAAAAAGAAAAGAAAAAAAAAGAAAAGAAAAGAAAAAAAAGGAAUAUAAAAUAUAAAAGGGGGGUGGGGGGAAACUGCUAGGUCAAUGAAUGAUUUUGAGAAUCUAAUUUAAAGAACUUAGCAAAGUGAAGGGCACGGUGUGCCCUGGUUGCUCUUCAUAAAUGUAGAGAGGUAAACACAGAGGAGAAAAAAUAAAA